rnacentral:rRNA from 1 species
AUAGCGUAUAUUAAAGUUGUUGCAGUUAAAAAGCUCGUAGUUGAACCUCGGGCCUGGCUGACCGGUCCGCCUCACCGCGUGCACUGGUUCGGCCGGGUCUUUCCUUCUGGCAAACCUCAUGCCCUUUACUGGGUGUGCUGGGGAACCAGGACUUUUACUUUGAAAAAAUUAGAGUGUUCAAAGCAGGCAUAUGCUCGAAUACAUUAGCAUGGAAUAAUAGAAUAGGACGUGCGGUUCUAUUUUGUUGGUUUCUAGAACCACCGUAAUGAUUAAUAGGGAUAGUCGGGGGCAUCAGUAUUCAAAUGUCAGAGGUGAAAUUCUUGGAUUAUUUGAAGACUAACUACUG